rnacentral:tRNA from 1 species
GCGAGAGUGGCGGAAUUGGCAGACGCACUAGACUUAGGAUCUAGCCCGCUUGACGGCGGAUGGGGGUUCAAGUCCCCCCUCUCGCA